AUUGAGCGCUGGCGGCAGGCCUAACACAUGCAAGUCGAGCGGAUGAGGAAAGCUUGCUUUUCGAUUCAGCGGCGUACGGGUGAGUAAUGCCUAGGAAUCUGCCUGUUAGUGGGGGAUAACUCGGGGACACUCGGGCUAAUACCGCAUACGUCCUACGGGAGAAAGUGGGGGAUCUUCGGACCUUACGCUAUCAGGUGAGCCUAGGUCGGAUUAGCUAGUAGGUGAGGUAAUGGCUCACCCAGGCGACGAUCCGGAACUGGUCUGAGAGGAUGAUCAGUCACACUGGAACUGAGACACGGUCCAGACUCCUACGGGAGGCAGCAGUGGGGAAUAUUGGACAAUGGGCGAAAGCCUGAUCCAGCCAUGCCGCGUGUGUGAAGAAGGUCUUCGGAUUGUAAAGCACUUUAAGUUGGGAGGAAGGGUAUUCACCUAAUACGUGGGUACUUUGACGUUACCAACAGAAUAAGCACCGGCUAACUCUGUGCCAGCCGCCGCCGUAAAAC
rnacentral:rRNA from 1 species